rnacentral:rRNA from 1 species
GUGGGGAAUAUUGGACAAUGGGCGCAAGCCUGAUCCAGCCAUGCCGCGUGAGUGAUGAAGGCCUUAGGGUUGUAAAGCUCUUUCGCCGACGAAGAUAAUGACGGUAGUCGGAGAAGAAGCCCCGGCUAACUUCGUGCCAGCAGCCGCGGUAAUACGAAGGGGGCUAGCGUUGUUCGGAAUCACUGGGCGUAAAGCGCACGUAGGCGGACAUUUAAGUCAGGGGUGAAAGCCUGGAGCUCAACUCCAGAACUGCCCUUGAUACUGGGUGUCUCGAGUCCGGAAGAGGUAAGUGGAACUGCGAGUGUAGAGGUGAAAUUCGUAGAUAUUCGCAAGAACACCAGUGGCGAAGGCGGCUUACUGGUCCGGUACUGACGCUGAGGUGCGAAAGCGUGGGGAUCGAACAGGAUUAGAAACCCUUGUAGUCC